rnacentral:rRNA from 1 species
UACGUAGGGUGCGAGCGUUGUCCGGAAUUAUUGGGCGUAAAGAGCUCGUAGGCGGUGUGUCACGUCGGCCGUGAAAACCUGGGGCUUAACUCUGGGCGUGCGGUCGAUACGGGCAUCACUAGAGUUCGGCAGGGGAGACUGGAAUCCUGGUGUAGCGGUGAAAUGCGCAGAUAUCAGGAGGAACACCGGUGGCGAAGGCGGGUCUCUGGGCCGAUACUGACGCUGAGGAGCGAAAGCAUGGGUAGCGAACAGG